UUUUGCAACUACAGCACAAUUGGCUUGUGACUUGUUCUUCUUUAUAUUGACUGUAUCUUUUUACAGUUGAUCAUUAACAGUGAUAGAGUAUCAUAGCAAACCUGAACUGACUGUUAGUCUACUGUACUCCUCACUAUUCUACUUCUUAUUAAUUCAAAUUGACAAUACUUGAGUAUAAAUACAAGAUGAUUGAUGUCUCUCAAUGGAGAGCAAGUAUUGGACUGUGGAACUACUGUCAAGCUGCCUCCAGUA